rnacentral:tRNA from 1 species
GGUCGCCCAGCGCGGUGCCGGUGCCGUGCGCCUCGACGGCGUCGACGUCGGCCGGUUCCAGUCCGGCCGUGGCCA